CCGGGGUACACAGUGCUGGGAGGUUUCGAGGGGGUGUAUCCAGCCGGAUCCCUGCUGUAGUCAUCACCUGAGUUGGAUGGAUACACCGAGGAGGGGAGUCCAGGAGGCACCUUCCGAACCUUUUUGGGCUGUCCAUCUAUGCUGCUCUCAGCACCUCUCCUGCGAGGGUUGUUGGGGUAAGAAAAAUACUGCGACCCCCCCUUCACUCCUGUGGGGGAAAGCGUGCUCGGACUGGCGAUUCCCAUCUCGCUGGGCAGGAAACCAGUCUGGCUCAGUCCUGGCAUCCCGGCGUCCCUUCCGAACGUGGAGUACGAGGCUCUUUCACCGCUCUUCCCCACUAGUCCAGGUCCCAGGAAUGGAGAUGAAGACAAGCUGUUGUGCGACGGCAGGUCCCGGUGCUCGCCGUAGUGGGGGCCUUCACCAUAGCUCCUUCCUUGGUCAAACGUGGAGCUGUUUUGAUCUCCCGUUCCCCAGGAACCCGAUCCCGGUCUUUCAUCCAAACCUGAUCCUCCAAACUGAGUGCUUGCUAGGGUCGUGGGUCUGUUUUUUCCAUUAGCCACUGGCAGGGGAAACAUCAUACUGAAGUCCAGCAGGUCACUGAGCUCUUUGUCUGUCCCAACUGCAGCCAUUCUCUGCUGCUGCUGAUUCAUACUCCCACAGACUCAACAGUGGCAGUCCUGUUCCGGGGCCGAACCGAGCCCGCGGUGCGUGUGCGCGGGGAGGAGCGGCGGCCGCGCAUGAAGGUCCCGCGGAGCUCAGGGCCCGCUCCGGGCCCGGUGCGGGGCCGGCGGGCGGCGGCGGCUCCUAUUGUUCUGCGCCGCCGGCGGGGUACGGCGCAGCGAAGCGGCGCGCUGAGCUCCGGCCCGGGCGGCGCGUGCGCCCCGGCCCGCCCCGCGCCCCCGCCCCCGGCGCGCCGGGCCCCAGCGCAACCGCCC
rnacentral:lncRNA from 1 species